GACAGAGGUGCCAAGCGUUAGGCGGAAUCACUGGGCUUAAAGCGUGUGUAGGCGGGUCGUUAAGUACCUUGUGAAAUCCCCCGGCUCAACCGGGGAACGGCUGGGUAUACUGGCGAUCUUGAGCCACCUAAGGGCAGUCGGAACAAGUGGUGGAGCGGUGAAAUGCGUAGAUAUCACUUGGAACGCCAAUGGUGAAAACAGACUGCUGGGGGUGUGCUGACGCUGAGACACGAAAGCCAGGGGAGCAAACGGG
rnacentral:rRNA from 1 species